rnacentral:rRNA from 1 species
CCUACGGGAGGCAGCAGUGGGGAAUUUUGCGCAAUGGGCGAAAGCCUGACGCAGCAACGCCGCGUGAGCGAAGAAGGCCUUCGGGUUGUAAAGCUCUGUCAGGGGGAAAGAAGGCACCUGGGUGAAUAGCCCAAGGGCUGACGGUACCCCCAAAGGAAGCCACGGCUAACUACGUGCCAGCAGCCGCGGUAAUACGUAGGUGGCAAGCGUUGUCCGGAAUCAUUGGGCGUAAAGAGCGCGUAGGCGGCUUGCCAGGUCCGAUGUGAAAGCCUGGGGCUAAACUCCAGAACUGCAUCGGAAACCGGCUUGCUAGAGUCUGGGAGAGGGGAGUGGAAUUCCUGGUGUAGCGGUGAAAUGCGUAGAUAUCAGGAGGAACACCGGUAGCGAAGGCGGCUCCCUGAACCAGUACUGACGCUGAGGCCCGAAAGCAAGGGGAGCAAACAGGAUUAGAUCCCCUGGUAGU